rnacentral:rRNA from 1 species
CAGGGAAUCUUGCGCAAUGGGCGAAAGCCUGACGCAGCGACGCCGCGUGGGGGAAGAAGGCCUGCGGGUUGUAAACCCCUUUUCUCGGGGAAGAAGCUCUGACGGUACCCGAGGAAUAAGCCUCGGCUAACUACGUGCCAGCAGCCGCGGUAAUACGUAGGAGGCGAGCGUUGUCCGGAUUCACUGGGCGUAAAGGGAGAGCAGGUGGCUGAGUUCGUCCGUGGUGCAAGCUCCAGGCUCAACUUGGAGAGGUCUACGGAUACUGCUCGGCUUGAGGGCGGUAGAGGAGCACGGAAUUCCUGGUGUAGUGGUGAAAUGCGUAGAUAUCAGGAGGAACACCGGUGGCGAAAGCGGUGCUCUGGGCCGUUCCUGACACUCAGGCUCGAAAGCGUGGGGAGCAAACCGGAUUAGAUACCCCCGUAGUCC